rnacentral:tRNA from 1 species
GUGGUGGAAUUGGUAGACACGCUGGAUGGGUCGCAAGUUCGAAUCUCGCCGUAGCCACCA